rnacentral:rRNA from 1 species
AAAGGGUCCUGAGGUGGUUUGCCCAGUCUACUGUGAAAGAUCAGGGCUCAACCCUGAAAAUGCGGUGGAAACUAGCAGGCUAGAAUACGGUAGGGGCAGGGGGAAUUCCCGGUGUAGCGGUGAAAUGCAUAGAUAUCGGGAAGAACACCAAUGGCGAAAGCACCCUGCUGGGCCGAUAUUGACACUGACAGACGAAAGCUAGGGGAGCAAAUGGGAUUAGAUACCCUAGU